rnacentral:misc_RNA from 1 species
UAAGCGUGAGGUCGGAGGUUCAAGUCCUCCCAGGCCCACCAAUUAUCCAUCCAUAGAAAAGCGCUUAGAAAGUUUGACUGUUAACAGGUCAACGUUGUUUUGUAGGACGCCAAUAUUGUCUUGAAAAAGAGCUUUCUUGUAAAGUUUGAGAAAACUUGUUUAUCGCUUUUUGUAAGAUGUGGUGUUUGUCUGCUUUUAAAGCGAUCGAAACUGAAAGUGUUUCAAAGAUAAGAGUCUUGGAACAGAAGAGUCUUGGAAUAGAAAAGAAUAUAAAGUCUAGGUGGUAUUACAUAGUCUAGAGUUAAAUUGUUCAUGAUUGGAACAUUUCAUAUUGAAAUGCUGCGAUAUAAAGGUUUCGAAUAAAUUAUUCCGUUUUGGGGCCGUAGCUCAGCUGGGAGAGCACCUGCUUUGCAAGCA